rnacentral:rRNA from 1 species
ACUUUGGUGGCGACCGGCGCACGGGUGCGUAACGCGUAUGCAACCUACCUUUAACAGGGGCAUAACACUGAGAAAUUGGUACUAAUUCCCCAUAACAUUCGAGAAGGCAUCUUCUUGGGUUAAAAACUCCGGUGGUUAAAGAUGGGCAUGCGUUGUAUUAGCUAGUUGGUGAGGUAACGGCUCACCAAGGCAACGAUACAUAGGGGGACUGAGAGGUUAACCCCCCACAUUGGUACUGAGACACGGACCAAACUCCUACGGGAGGCAGCAGUGAGGAAUAUUGGUCAAUGGACGCAAGUCUGAACCAGCCAUGCCGCGUGCAGGAAGACGGCUCUAUGAGUUGUAAACUGCUUUUGUACUAGGGUAAACGCUCUUACGUGUAGGAGCCUGAAAGUAUAGUACGAAUAAGGAUCGGCUAACUCCGUGCCAGCAGCCGCGGUAAUACGGAGGAUCCAAGCGUUAUCCGGAUUUAUUGGGUUUAAAGGGUGCGUAGGCGGUUUGAUAAGUUAGAGGUGAAAUACCGGGGCUCAACUCCGGAACUGCCUCUAAUACUGUUGAACUAGAGAGUAGUUGCGGUAGGCGGAAUGUAUGGUGUAGCGGUGAAAUGCUUAGAGAUCAUACAGAACACCGAUUGCGAAGGCAGCUUACCAAACUAUAUCUGACGUUGAGGCACGAAAGCGUGGGGA